rnacentral:rRNA from 1 species
CCUACGGGAGACAGCAGUGGGGAAUAUUGCGCAAUGGGCGAAAGCCUGACGCAGCGACGCCGCGUGAGGGAUGAAGGUCUUCGGAUCGUAAACCUCUGUCAGCAGGGAAGAACGGUCACUGUGCUAAUCAGCAGUGAAUUGACGGUACCUGCAAAGGAAGCACCGGCUAACUCCAUGCCAGCAGCCGCGGUAAUACGGAGGGUGCGAGCGUUAAUCGGAAUUACUGGGCGUAAAGCGCGCGUAGGCGGUAUGUCACGUCAAGGGUGAAAUCCCCGCGCUCAACGUGGGAACUGCCUUUGAAACUGGCAAACUGGAGUGUGUGAGAGGAUAGUUGAAAUGCAGGUGUAGGAGUGAAAGCCGUAGAUAUCUGGAGGAACAUCAGUGGCGAAGGCGACUAUCUGGCACAUAACUGACGCUGAGGAGCGAAAGCGUGGGUAGCAAACAGGAUUAGAUACCCCUGUAGUC